GAUGAACGCUGGCGGCGUGCCUAAUACAUGCAAGUCGAGCGAACGGACGAGAAGCUUGCUUCUCUGAUGUUAGCGGCGGACGGGUGAGUAACACGUGGAUAACCUACCUAUAAGACUGGGAUAACUUCGGGAAACCGUAGCUAAUACCGGAUAAUAUUUUGAACCGCAUGGUUCAAAAGUGAAAGACGGUCUUGCUGUCACUUAUAGAUGGAUCCGCGCUGCAUUAGCUAGUUGGUAAGGUAACGGCUUACCAAGGCAACGAUGCAUAGACGACCUGAGAGGGUGGUCGGCCACACUGGAACUGAGACACGGCCCAGACUCCUACGGGAGGCAGCAGUAGGGAAUCUUCCGCAAUGGGCGAAAGCCUGACGGAGCAACGCCGCGUGAGUGAUGAAGGUCUUCGGAUCGUAAAACUCUGUUAUUAGGGAAGAACAUAUGUGUAAGUAACUGUGCACAUCUUGACGGUACCUAAUCAGAAAGCCACGGCUAACUACGUG
rnacentral:rRNA from 1 species